rnacentral:rRNA from 1 species
AAGUCGUAACAAGGUAGCCGUACGGGAACGUGCGGCUGGAUCACCUCCUUUCUAAGGAGUA